GGUGGCAGGGUAGUCUAGUGGUUAGAGUGUAGAGGUGGCAGGGUAGCCUAGUGGUUAGAGUGUAGAGGUGGCAGGGUAGUCUAGUGGUUAGAGUGUAGAGGUGGCAGGGUAGUCUAGUGGUUAGAGUGUAGAGGUGGCAGGGUAGUCUAGUGGUUAGAGUGUAGAGGUGGCAGGGUAGCCUAGUGGUUAGAGUGUAGAGGUGGCAGGGUAGUCUAGUGGUUAGAGUGUAGAGGUGGCAGGGUAGCCUAGUGGUUAGAGUGUAGAGGUGGCAGGGUAGUCUAGUGGUUAGAGUGUAGAGGUGGCAGGGUAGCCUAGUGGUUAGAGUGUAGAGGUGGCAGGGUAGUCUAGUGGUUAGAGUGUAGAGGUGGCAGGGUAGCCUAGUGGUUAGAGUGUAGAGGUGGCAGGGUAGUCUAGUGGUUAGAGUGUAGAGGUGGCAGGGUAGCCUAGUGGUUAGAGUGUAGAGGUGGCAGGGUAGUCUAGUGGUUAGAGUGUAGAGGUGGCAGGGUAGCCUAGUGGU